ACUAUUUUGGCAGAUAAGUGCAUUGGAUUUAGAAUCUAUUAAUGUAAGGGGUUUUACAGGUAGUA
rnacentral:tRNA from 4 species